CCUACGGUGUGCAGCAGUGGGGAAUUUUGGACAAUGGGGGCAACCCUGAUCCAGCAAUGCCGCGUGAGUGAAGCAGGCCUUCGGGUUGUAAAGCUCUUUUGUCAGGGAAGAAACGGUCGUAGCGCAUAACUCUUCCUACUGACGGUACCUGCAGAAUCAGCACCGGCUAACUACGUGCCAGCAGCCGCGGUAAUACGUAGGGUGCAAGCGUUAAUCGGACUUACUGGGCGUAAAGCGUGCGCAGGCGGUUGUGUAAGUCAGAUGUGAAAUCCCCGGGCUCAACCUGGGAAUUGCAUUUGAGACUGCACGGCUAGAGUGUGUCAGAGGGGGGUAGAAUUCCACGUGUAGCAGUGAAAUGCGUAGAUAUGGGGAGGAAUACCGAUGGCGAAGGCAGCCCCCUGGGAUAACACUGACGCUCAUGCACGAAAGCGUGGGGAGCAAACAGGAUUAGAUACCCGAGUAGUC
rnacentral:rRNA from 1 species